rnacentral:rRNA from 1 species
GACGAACGCUGGCGGCGUGCUUAACACAUGCGAGUCGAGCGGUAAGGCCCUUUCGGGGGUACACGAGCGGCGAACGGGUGAGUAACACGUGGGUGACCUGCCUCUAGCUCUGGGAUAAGCCUGGGAAGCUGGGUCUAAUACCGGAUAUGACCUCGCGGUGCAUGUUGCGGGGUGGAAAGCCUUGUGCGGCUAGGGAUGGGCCCGCGGCCUAUCAGCUUGUUGGUGGGGUGANGGCCUACCAAGGCGACGACGGGUAGCCGGCCUGAGAGGGCGACCGGCCACACUGGGACUGAGACACGGCCCAGACUCCUACGGGAGGCAGCAGUGGGGAAUCUUGCGCAAUGGGCGAAAGCCUGACGCAGCGACGCCGCGUGAGGGAUGACGGCCU